UACGUAGGGUGCAAGCGUUGUCCGGAAUUAUUGGGCGUAAAGAGCUCGUAGGCGGUCUGUCGCGUCUGCUGUGAAAAUCCAGGGCUCAACCCUGGACCUGCAGUGGGUACGGGCAGACUAGAGUGCGGUAGGGGAGAUCGGAAUUCCUGGUGUAGCGGUGAAAUGCGCAGAUAUCAGGAGGAACACCGAUGGCGAAGGCAGCUCGCUGGGACGGUACUGACGCUGAGGCGCGAAAGCGUGGGGAGCAAACAGG
rnacentral:rRNA from 1 species